UCACGUGAAGCAGCCAGCCAACCCAAACUUGGUGUGUCCAACACAAAUCUGGGGACAUAGAGACAAAAACAGGCUUGGUUUCUCCCUGUGACCAAACCUUCCCACCACACAGGGCCAGGGUGAAGUUAACCCGACAUCUUUUGGUGUGAUUCUGAUGGGCAGACUCCCCUCCCCCACAGCGGGACUCAAACUUCAGGGCUCCAAACCCCCUGCCUGCCAGACAUCCACACAGCCUGCAACUGCUCACCCUUCUUGUAAAUGCUGCAAAGGGACCCCUAGCAUACCACCUGUGUGAUGCGUGCGUGUAUAUGUGUGUAUGUGUGUCUGCUCAUGCAUGUGGGUUCUCAGGCACGCGGAAGUCUGAGAUGAAUGACUGGUGUCUCCCUCAAUUGCUCCCCACCUUAUCUUUUCACGCAGGGUCUCUCAUUGAACUCAAAGAUCACUGAUUGUCUACUGAGCAAUGGAGAAUCUGCUGUCUCUGCUUCUCCUUCCCCUCCCUCCAUCUUCCUGAACUAGGGUUCCAGACAGGAAUAACUGUGCCACGCCUGCCUUUUCACAUGGGCGCUUGGGAUCUGAACUCGGGUCCUCAGGCUUAAAUGCGUUGAUGACAGAAUUGAGGCCUUUGAACAUUCUAGACAAGAGAUCUGCACAGGGCCCCAGCCCCAGCUUCACUGGCUCUUGUAAAGACCUGAGUCAGAGCAACAGGUGUCUCUGGGGACUUAUCAGGGGCUUUCAGGACCGAAAACACGAGCCGACUCCUGCCAUUCCUGGUGCUGAAACAGUUCCUGUCUGGUUCCUUCCCCAGAGGCCCGCUGCCCAGGGUAGGGGAGGGGCGCAUGCCACCUCGUGGAAUAAACUCCUGAGGCUCUCUGGGAUGGAUACUUAAGGAGACAAUCCUGGCCUAUGCUUGCUUGCUUUACAUCGUGGGGAAACAGAGUUUUUGAGGGUGGGGCCGCCUUGGGAAAGUGGUGGGAGGUAGGCCAGUGUGGGGUACAAACACAGUCAGAGCCAGGAGCCUCAGAGUCUUGACGCUAAUCUGCAUGUGAGCAGCCCAGCUCUUGCCUGGACUGCUGUGGCGGGAGCUUACGUCAUCUUCUGCGCUGUGUUCUCCCCUCCGCAGUCAGAGAGCAAUUUCUAACAGAUCAGGAACCCUCCUACAGAUACCUGCCUCAUUCAGAGUAAAAGGCAAAGUCCACUGUGCUGGCUGAUUCUGUGUGUCAACUUGGCACGAAGCCUGAGUCAAUAGAGAGGAAGGAGUCUCAGUUGAGGAAACGCCUCCACGAGAUCCAGCGGCAAGGCAUUUUCUCAAUUCCUGAUUGAAAGGGGGAGGGUCCAGCCCACUGUGGGUGGAGCCAUCCCUGGGCUGGUGGUCCUGGGUUCUAUAAGCAAGCAGCUGAGCAAGCCAUGAGGAGCAAGCCAGUAAGCAGCACCCCUCCAUGGUCUCUGCAUCAAUUCCUGCCUUCAGGUUCCCACCGGGCUCGAGUUCUUGUUCCCACUUCUGUUGGUGAUGAACAGUGAUGUGGGGGUAUAAGCCAAAUGAACCCUUUCCUCCACAACUUGCUUUUCACUUCCCCUCAGGACCUGUGCCCCAGCUGCCAUCGAUCCAACCCUCAUCACAUUCACGGUUCUUCAGACAGGAUCUCCUCGGAGGCUCCCGCUGGCUGGCCCUAAGAUCGCUGUAUGCCCUACUUAUCUCCACUGACUGGAGGAAGGGUUAUCUUUGCCGAGUUACUUCAAAGUUUCCAAGCGCUGGCUCUCGGGCCUGAGCACAGGCUGACAGAGGGUGUGCCUCCACGCCCACGGCCUUCAGUCUCCGUUUUUAUCCAGCGCAGAACGCUCCAGAGGGAACCUUUGGACAAGGACACCCCUCCCUGUGGAGACCACAGUCAGGCUGCCCAAGUGCUCAGGCCUGUCUUCCCAGUGUCUGAAGGACAUGGCUUCCCACCCGGGAUCGGAAAAAACAGGACAUUUUCCUGGAAUAUCAUGGUGGCGUCUAGGGCGCUUGACUUUUUGACAUCCUCAAUACAAAUGCUUGCUCCUGAUCAUGAGCAGCUGUUGCUACCAUGAAGGAGUCAUGGUUCCAGGGGCUGCCAGGGUGGCUCAGUGGUUAAAGUGCCGGCCAUUCAAGCAUGAAGAUCUGAGUUCCAUUCCCACAUAAAAAAAGCCAGGGUGGUGUUCCUAUCAUCUCAGCAAUGGUGUGUGGUGGUAGAGGUGGUAGGAGGAUCAGGAGUUCAGGCAUCCUUAGCUGCAUGGCAAGCUGGAGGCCUGCCUGGGCUAUUCGAGUGACACAGCUUCAAAAAGCGAACCAACCAACCAGAGCAGAACCGGGGAUGUGGGGCCGUGGUAAGGCACCAUCCCCAGCAUGUUCAAAUCCCAGCAUCACAUGAGACACUGCUGAAGUGUUAAGGAAACUGAAGUGAUGGCUAACUUUCUUGACGGGCCUGUGGGUACCGAGGGACCUCCUUCAGGACCACCCGCCCACUUGACAUUUCCUGUCCAGCAAUGGCCUGGACCGGGGCAGGCUGAGGCUAGAAAAGACCACAGCAUGCACUUUCCACCUGACCAGUGCUACUCCUGAGAGGUACCAAUAACCAUGUGGAAGGGACCGUUUUCUUGCACCCAAAGACCCCAGAGUGCAGAAGGGGACGAAAGGCCGUAAGCCCAGGUCAAGGGCAAGAAGUGCCUGUGUCCUGACCUAUCUUGAGGUCACAACAUUGCUAGUGAUGGUGGUGGUCAUGCGGCAGCCUUUACCUAGCUUUGGGUGUUUCUGGAAUGCCUACGUGGAAAAGGGAUCUUCCUGUAGGUUGGCUUCCCCCAGAAACACCUAUUUAACAACUACUUUGGGAAAGGAGAUGUCCCAGAAUAGCUCUGUCCCCAGCAGGGGGUGAGAGAGAGGCCUGGGGGACAAGCAGCAGCAGCAGCAGCAGCCGCAGCCAGAGGCAACAUCUGGACAGAGCGGGGAAACUGGGGUUCAUAGUGCACGAGAUGCGGUCAGCUCCAGACUCUCAGGGGCCAGGUAAAAGCCACAGGAUCCCGGGACCAGCAUCUCCGAUGUGGGCUCCCGGCUGAUGGUUUUAAAGCGAACCCUUCUGACUGUGGAGAAUUGCAAAAUCAAGCUGGUGCUACACGCCCCCAAAUCAAUCAGGCAGAUGCCCAGGAGACCCAGCUGAACUCAGCUGUUGAAUACUAGGAUGAAAUCUGGAGGCAUGCCGUCCAUUUCUCCUUCAUCAUCUCCUGGCUCUGCUGUGGAGGCUUCUGGGAGAAAACCCCAACGGGUAUCCAUCAGUGGUAGAAGGAGACUGAAAGACCCCAGGAGGAGUACAGCAGGCAGCGUGUGAAUGUGGAAUUACGCAUGACUGGUCCCUGCCCUCUGAGAGCCUGCUCACACGCGAACACUGAUACAGAGCGAUCUUGCCACACCAGGGACUAUGUAAGGACAUAGUGCCUGCUGGUGCUGCCCCACGUUUUGGGGGAGGGAGGCGUCACAGAGUCAGUUACUCGGUCACUGAGAUCAACAGAGCUGCGAAGCAGGUUUGUCUGUGAGAAGCCCGCAUCCUAUCUGCGGCUGGCUAGUUUUAUGUCAACUUAACACACGCUAGAGUCAUUUGGGAAGAGGGAGCAGCAACUGAGAAAAUACCCCCCACCAGACUGGCCUGUGAGCAAACCUGUGGAACGUUUUAUGGACUGAUGAUUGAUGUGGGAGGGCCCAGCCCACUGUGGGUGGUGUCAUCCCUAGCUGGUAGUCCUGGUUCCUAUAAGGCUGUAGGCUAAGCAAGCCGGGGAAUCAAGCCAGUAAGCAUCGUUCCUCCUUGACUUCUGCUUCAGUUCCUGCCUCUGCUUCCUGGAAUGAUGGACUACAAGCUUUAAGAUGAAAUAAACUCUUCCCUCCCCAAGCUGAAUUUGGCUGAAGUGUUUUAUUAGCACAGUGAUAGAAAGUCUAGCUAAGGGGACUGGAGAGAUGG